ensembl:lncRNA
AACGAUGUCUGUCAGGCUGUUUGAGCUAACUGAUGUAAUAUUCCAUCUGAUUGCAAACACGUGGAGAUUAUUUAUUUGUUUGUUUGUUUGUUUCCUUCCCUCAGUAGAAUAAAGAGAUUUUCAUUGUUUGUGAGGUGGACGUGUGGAGUAAAGAUGUAGAUAUUUUCAGAUGCCUGAAGAUUCAAAAGUCUCCUUAUACAGUGCAAGUCUGCUUUUCUCCUGCUGCCAGAGAGAGGUGAACAUAGAGGAUCUGUACUGCACUUCUGCCAGGCCAGAGGCAUCUAGUUUCAUGUUGAUUGUUUUGAUCUGUUUGCCCUCAUACACUGAAAUGUUUGGGUGGAAAUGCACCCCACAAAGACUGAGCGGUAAGCAGAGUAAUAGCUUCAUUGGAGCAGAGCAAAACAGCAGGGGUGUCAUGGUGCUCCUGGGUCUGUAACACUUCAUUGGAAACACUGGGCAAGAAUGGAGGGAGCUAUAAUUAGGGGAUGUUGAGCAAGGCUGACCUGGUGAGAUGGAAGCAGAUACAUUGUUGGGUAACACUGCAAACCAUGAGUUGCAGAGGAUCAACUCAGGACAUCACAGACAUACUUGGACCAUGGCCCAAGUUGAUUUAUAUAAAUUAUUUUUUAUAUUUGCAUUUAUAUUUAUUUUUCAUACUACAUAUAAAAGACUUGUAUUUUAUUAUAAUUUGUAGAGUAAGUCUGAUUUCUGUCAAAGAAGGUUUUUUUUAGCUAUGAGGCUGCAUUUAUACUAACUUAUUUUUAGUUAUGUUGUUGUUUGUAUCUUCCUUUUAAGAGCUGCGAUGUUACGGAUUUUGCACAAAUGAGAAUGUUGAAAACACAUAGUUAAAUCUUUGUUUAUGCAUUGUUUCUCUUUAUAAAGUAAAAAGCAACAGC